UGGGGAUAUUGCGCAAUGGGCGAAAGCCUGACGCAGCAACGCCGCGUGGAGGAUGAAGGCUCUCGGGUCGUAAACUCCUGUCAAGUGGGAAGAAACCUUCGUAGGGUAAUAUCCUACGAAGCUGACGGUACCAUUGGAGGAAGCAUCGGCUAACUACGUGCCAGCAGCCGCGGUAAUACGUAGGAUGCAAGCGUUGUUCGGAUUUAUUGGGCGUAAAGAGUAUGUAGGCGGCUUAGUAAGUCAAAGGUGAAAUCCCUCGGCUCAACCGGGGAACUGCCUCUGAAACUGCUUAGCUUGAGUAUAGGAGAGGAAAGCGGAAUUCCCAGUGUAGCGGUGAAAUGCGUAGAUAUUGGGAAGAACAUCAGUGGCGAAGGCGGCUUUCUGGACUAUUACUGACGCUGAGAUACGAAAGCCAGGGGAGCGAACGGGAUUAGAUACCCCGGUAGUCCUGGCCGUAAACUAUGGGUACUAGGUGUGGGAGGUACCGACCCCUUCCGUGCCGCAGCUAACGCAUUAAGUACCCCGCCUGGGGAGUACGGUCGCAAGGCUG
rnacentral:rRNA from 1 species